rnacentral:rRNA from 1 species
CUACGGGACGCUCCAGUGGGGAAUAUUGCACAAUGGGGGAAACCCUGAUGCAGCGACGCCGCGUGAAGGAUGACGGAUUUCGGUCUGUAAACUUCUAUCAGCAGGGAAGAUAGUGACUGUACCUGACUAAGAAGCCCCGGCUAACUACGUGCCAGCAGCCGCGGUAAUACGUAGGGGGCAAGCGUUAUCCGGAAUUACUGGGUGUAAAGGGUGCGUAGGUGGCGAGUUAAGUUAGAUGUGAAAGCCCGGGGCUCAACCUCGGGACUGCAUUUAAAACUGGCUUGCUAGAAUACAGGAGAGGUAAGUGGAAUUCCUAGUGUAGCGGUGAAAUGCGUAGAUAUUAGGAGGAACACCAGUGGCGAAGGCGACUUACUGGACUGUUAUUGACACUGAGGCACGAAAGCGUGGGGAGCGAACAGGAUUAGAUACCCUCGUAGUC